UCCCCUUCCUCCCUGCCCAG
rnacentral:miRNA from 1 species